UGAGGAUCUGGAAAGCACGCAGAGCAGAGGACACAACCCACACAGGUGUGUGACAGAAGCUCAUUGAGAUUUGAGAAGAAUAAAGUACUAAACUUCUAUGGGUGUUUUCAAAUGAGUGAGACUGGAUCCCGACUGAGUAUAACUCAGCAUAACUGCUAGUGGAUCUCUUUAUCUCUUGGACGCUGACAUCAAGAUGUAGCCUACUGCCAUUCCAAGGGGACGGUUCCUGUCCCCUUGUCAAGGUGGAUGGCAGUCACCAGGUGGAUGUUGGAUGUGAAUGCAGGAGCAGCACGGUCAUCACUGCGGGCAUACAGACGAGCGAGAGGAAGGACAAUAGAG